rfam:Pteropus alecto contig11521, whole genome shotgun sequence.
GUCUACGGCCAUGCUACCCUGAACAAGCCCGAUCCUGUCUGAUCUUGGAAGCUAAGCAGGGUUGGGCCUGGUUAGUACUUGGAUGGGAGACCACCUAUGAAGACCAGAUGCUGUAGGCA